CACGUAGGGCGCAAGCGUUGUCCGGAAUUAUUGGGCGUAAAGAGCUCGUAGGCGGUUUGUUGCGUCGGCUGUGAAAUCCCGAGGCUCAACCUCGGGUCUGCAGUCGAUACGAGCAAACUAGAGUGUUGCAGGGGAGACUGGAAUUCCUGGUGUAGCGGUGAAAUGCGCAGAUAUCAGGAGGAACACCGGUGGCGAAGGCGGGUCUCUGGGCAAUAACUGACGCUGAGGAGCGAAAGCGUGGGGAGCGAACAGG
rnacentral:rRNA from 1 species